rnacentral:rRNA from 1 species
GACGUAGGGCGCGAGCGUUGUCCGGAUUUAUUGGGCGUAAAGAGCGUGUAGGCGGUUCGGUAAGUCUGCCGUGAAAACCUGGGGCUCAACCCCGGGCGUGCGGUGGAUACUGCCGGGCUAGAGGGUGGUAGAGGCGAGUGGAAUUCCAGGUGUAGCGGUGAAAUGCGUAGAUAUCUGGAGGAACACCGGUGGCGAAGGCGGCAUCCUGGACCGGUAUUGACGCUGAGGCGCGAAAGCCAGGGGAGCAAACGGG